UACGUAGGGGGCUAGCGUUGUCCGGAUUUAUUGGGCGUAAAGAGCGUGUAGGCGGCCAGGUAGGUCUGCUGUGAAAACCCGAGGCUCAACCUCGGGCCUGCAGUGGGUACGGGCAGACUAGAGUGCGGUAGGGGAGAUUGGAAUUCCUGGUGUAGCGGUGGAAUGCGCAGAUAUCAGGAGGAACACCGAUGGCGAAGGCAGAUCUCUGGGCCGUAACUGACGCUGAGGAGCGAAAGCAUGGGGAGCGAACAGG
rnacentral:rRNA from 1 species